rnacentral:rRNA from 1 species
CAGUAGCCGCGGGAACACGAAGGGUGCAAGCGUUACUCGGAAUUACUGGGCGUAAAGCGUGCGUAGGUGGUGGUUUAAGUCCGUUGUGAAAGCCCUGGGCUCAACCUGGGAAUUGCAGUGGAUACUGGGUCACUAGAGUGUGGUAGAGGAUAGUGGAAUUUCCGGUGUAGCAGUGAAAUGCGUAGAGAUCGGAAGGAACAUCUGUGGCGAAGGCGACUAUCUGGGCCAACACUGACACUGAGGCACGAAAGCGUGGGGAGCAAACAGGAUUAGAUACCCCAUAGUCCCUGUCUCUUAUACA